UAGGGAAUCUUCGGCAAUGGACGGAAGUCUGACCGAGCAACGCCGCGUGAGUGAAGAAGGUUUUCGGAUCGUAAAGCUCUGUUGUAAGAGAAGAACGAGUGUGAGAGUGGAAAGUUCACACUGUGACGGUAUCUUACCAGAAAGGGACGGCUAACUACGUGCCAGCAGCCGCGGUAAUACGUAGGUCCCGAGCGUUAUCCGGAUUUAUUGGGCGUAAAGCGAGCGCAGGCGGUUAGAUAAGUCUGAAGUUAAAGGCUGUGGCUUAACCAUAGUACGCUUUGGAAACUGUUUAACUUGAGUGCAAGAGGGGAGAGUGGAAUUCCAUGUGUAGCGGUGAAAUGCGUAGAUAUAUGGAGGAACACCGGUGGCGAAGGCGGCUCUCUGGCUUGUAACUGACGCUGAGGCUCGAAAGCGUGGGGAGCAAACAGGAUUAGAUACCCUGGUAGUCCACGCCGUAAACGAUGAGUGCUAGGUGUUAGACCCUUUCCGGGGUUUAGUGCCGUAGCUAACGCAUUAAGCACUCCGCCUGGGGAGUACGACCGCAAGGUUG
rnacentral:rRNA from 1 species